rnacentral:misc_RNA from 1 species
CUCUCCAUCUAUUUUUAUUUUAAGUUUUUAACAAAUUUAGCCGCCAGCUCUGUAAGCCCUUGCAGGACCAAUGGUUGUCGGCGUCCUCGCUCUUCAGGGUUCUUUCAACGAACACGUUGCAGCGCUUAGAAGAUUGGGAGUGAAGGGAGUGGAGAUAAGGAAGCCAGAGCAGCUUCAGAAUGUCAGUUCUCUUAUUAUUCCUGGUGGCGAAAGCACUACUAUGGCUAAGCUCGCCGAGUACCAUAACUUGUUCCCUGCGUUGCGCGAGUUUGUUAAGACGGGUAAACCUGUUUGGGGCACAUGUGCAGGUCUCAUCUUCUUGGCAGACAAGGCUAUUGGGCAGAAAACAGGAGGACAAGAAUUGAUUGGUGGCAUAGAUUGCACUGUCCAUAGAAAUUACUUUGGCAGUCAGAUUCAAAGCUUCGAGGCAGAGCUUUCGGUACCAGAACUUGUAUCUAAGGAAGGUGGGCCUGAAACAUUCCGUGGAGUUUUCAUCCGUGCUCCUGCAGUACUUGAAGUUGGGCCUGGAGUUGAAGUGCUGGCUGAGUAUCCGGUCUCAUCUACCAGUGUUCUGUAUUCAAGUUCUGCUGUUCAAAUCCAGGAGGAAAAUGCUGUACCUGAAAAGAAAGUCAUCGUAGCUGUAAAGCAAGGGAAUUUGCUAGGGACUGCCUUCCAUCCUGAACUGACAUCAGAUACUCGAUGGCAUAGUUACUUCUUGAAAAUGGGAAGUGAGGCUCAAGAAGAAUCUCCAAGCAGCAUUGUCCCAGUUGGAGGAGUAGAUCCAAGCUUCAACGAAAAAGCAAGGAUUGAUCUUCCUAUCUAUCAAUAGUAGCAAUGAGAUACAAAUAUGAGCAUCUUUAUCAUCUUUUUAAUUGGUAUUUUCCUUUUGAAGACGCAGAAAGAAAUUGAUUUUCCUUUUGCCUAAAGUUAAUUGUUACUUUGAUAUCAGGCAUGUGUUGGAGGUCAGUCUAUUCUCUUAGGUUGAAAGUUGAGAUUACAAAUCAGAUGAUAGAUACACAUUCAUGCAUCCCACCUGUAAAUAUAAUGUUCAAAUGAAGUAAGCUUUUCUAUUUAAAAAAAAAAAAUCAAUUUCUUUCUGCGUCUUCAAAA